GUCGAACGGCAGCACGGGAGCUUGCUCCUGGUGGCGAGUGGCGAACGGGUGAGUAAUGUAUCGGAACGUACCCAGUCGUGGGGGAUAACUCUCCGAAAGGAGAGCUAAUACCGCAUACGUCCUGAGGGGGAAAGCGGGGGACCUGCAAAGGCCUCGCGCGAUUGGAGCGGCCGAUAUCGGAUUAGCUAGUUGGCGGGGUAAAGGCCCACCAAGGCGACGAUCCGUAGCGGGUCUGAGAGGACGACCCGCCACACUGGAACUGAGACACGGUCCAGACUCCUACGGGAGGCAGCAGUGGGGAAUUUUGGACAAUGGGGGCAACCCUGAUCCAGCCAUUCCGCGUGAGUGAAGAAGGCCUUCGGGUUGUAAAGCUCUUUCAGCAGGAGCGAAACGGUCGUUUUUAAUACAGACGGCUAAUGACGGUACCUGCAGAAGAAGCACCGGCUAACUACGUGCCAGCAGCCGCGGUAAUACGUAGGGUGCGAGCGUUAAUCGGAAUUACUGGGCGUAAAGCGUGCGCAGGCGGCGACAUAAGACAGAUGUGAAAUCCCCGGGCUCAACCUGGGAACUGCGUUUGUGACUGUGUUGCUAGAGUGUAGCAGAGGGGGGUGGAAUUCCACGUGUAGCAGUGAAAUGCGUAGAUAUGUGGAGGAACACCGACGGCGAAGGCAGCCCCCUGGGUUAACACUGACGCUCAUGCACGAAAGCGUGGGGAGCAAACAGGAUUAGAUACC
rnacentral:rRNA from 1 species